rnacentral:rRNA from 1 species
UCCAGACUCCUACGGGAGGCAGCAGUGGGGAAUAUUGCACAAUGGGGGAAACCCUGAUGCAGCGACGCCGCGUGAGCGAUGAAGUAUCUCGGUAUGUAAAGCUCUCUCAGCAGGGAAGAAAGUGACAGUACCUGACUAAGAAGCCCCGGCUAACUACGUGCCAGCAGCCGCGGUAAUACGUAGGGGGCAAGCGUUAUCCGGAUUCACUGGGCGUAAAGGGAGCGCAGGCGGCACGGCAAGUCUGGUGUGAAAACCCGGGGCUCAACCCCGGGACUGCAUUGGAAACUGUGCAGCUAGAGUGCAGGAGAGGUAAGUGGAAUUCCUAGUGUAGCGGUGAAAUGCGUAGAUAUUAGGCGGAACACCAGUGGCGAAGGCGGCUUACUGGACUGUAACUGACGUUGAGGCUCGAAAGCGUGGGGAGCAAACAGGAUUAGAUACCCCGGUA